rnacentral:rRNA from 1 species
AACGAACGCUGGCGGCAUGCUUAACACAUGCAAGUCGAACGAUACCUUCGGGUCUUGUUCCUCACGGGUGCGUACCGCGUGGGAACUUGCACUUAAGUUCGCUAUCACUCCCCGUGAGAGGUGCUAAUACCGCAUCAUGUCUUCGGACCAAAGAUUGAUCGCCUUUGGAUGGGGCCCCGUUGGAUUAGCCAGUUGGUAGGGUACAAGCCUACCAAGGCGAGGUUCCAUAGCUGGUCUGAGAGGAGGAGCAGCCACACUGGGACUGAGACACGGACGAGUCUGCUACGGAGGGGAGGAGUGGGGAAUAUAGGAGGAUGGGCGAUAGCGUGACCCAGCAACGCCACGGGAGUGAUGAAGGCGGUAGGGUUGUAAAGCUCUUUGACACGGGAUGAUAGUGACGGUACCGGGAGAAGAAGCACCGGCUAACUACGUG